rnacentral:rRNA from 14 species
GCUCACUAGUCGAGUCGGCCUGCGCGGAAGAUAUAACGGGGCUCAAACUGUACACCGAAGCUACGGGUUCAUCGAAUGAUGAGCGGUAGAGGAGCGUUGUGUAAGCCGUCGAAGGUGAACUGAGAAGUUUGCUGGAGGUAUCACAAGUGCGAAUGCUGACAUGAGUAACGAUAAGGGGGGUGAAAAACCUCCCCGCCGGAAGACUAAGGGUUCCUGUCCAAUGCUAAUCAGGGCAGGGUUAGUCGGCCCCUAAGGCGAGGCUGAGAAGCGUAGUCGAUGGGAAACGGAUUAAUAUUUCCGUACUUGUAAUUACUGCGAUGGGGGGACGGAGAAGGCUAAUCGAGCCAGGCGUUGGUUGUCCUGGUUUAAGGUUGUAGGCUGAAUGUUUAGGCAAAUCCGGACAUUCUUAAGGCUGAGAACUGAUGACGGUGAAACUACGGUUUCCGAAGUCGAUGAUGCCAUGCUUCCAAGAAAAGCCUCUAAGCUUCAGGUAAUUACGAACCGUACCCUAAACCGACACAGGUGGACAGGUAGAGAAUACCAAGGCGCUUGAGAGAACUCGGGUGAAGGAACUAGGCAAAAUCGUACCGUAACUUCGGGAGAAGGUACGCUCCUAUCUGUGAUGAGACUUGCUCUCUAAGCGGUUCGGGGUCGAAGAUACUAGGUGGCUGCGACUGUUUAUUAAAAACACAGCACUCUGCAAACACGAAAGUGGACGUAUAGGGUGUGACGCCUGCCCGGUGCCGGAAGGUUAAUGGAUGGGGUUAUCUUCGGAGAAGCUCUUGAUCGAAGCCCCGGUAAACGGCGGCCGUAACAAUAACGGUCCUAAGG